rnacentral:tRNA from 1 species
CGGGGGUAGGCGGGCUCGGUGAACAGUUCCCUCUCGAAGAGGGAGAGGGUCUGCGUCUCGAGUUCGAAUCCGGUGUCCGCGUC